GAUGAACGCUAGCUACAGGCUUAACACAUGCAAGUCGAGGGGAAACGACAUCGAAAGCUUGCUUUUGAUGGGCGUCGACCGGCGCACGGGUGAGUAACGCGUAUCCAACCUGCCCACCACUUGGGGAUAACCUUGCGAAAGUAAGACUAAUACCCAAUGAUAUCCCACGAAGACAUCUGAAUGGGAUAAAAGAUUUAUCGGUGAUGGAUGGGGAUGCGUCUGAUUAGCUUGUUGGCGGGGUAACGGCCCACCAAGGCAACGAUCAGUAGGGGUUCUGAGAGGAAGGUCCCCCACAUUGGAACUGAGACACGGUCCAAACUCCUACGGGAGGCAGCAGUGAGGAAGAUUGGUCAAUGGGCGAGAGCCUGAACCAGCCAAGUAGCGUGCAGGAAGACGGCCCUAUGGGUUGUAAACUGCUUCUAUAAGGGAAUAAAGUGGGUCACGUGUGACUUUUUGCAUGUACCUUAUGAAUAAGGACCGGCUAAUUCCGUG
rnacentral:rRNA from 1 species